GAGAGGUUGGCGCGGGCGGACGCCUCGCCAAUCCGGUCAGGUCCGGAAGGAAGCAGCCGUAACGAGUCCCGUUCGGGUCGUGUUCCAGCCUCUCACC
rnacentral:SRP_RNA from 1 species